GGUGUCAUUACCUGGUUAACGUGUAUUCCCUGAGUCCUGAAUGAAGAUUCAUGGCUGAGAAGGUCCCAAUGCAGCCACGAAGCCGCUUGUCCCGCCCUGUCUUCCACGUCACAAAGAGCGGACUAAAAAAAGCAAAACACAAAACAUUCUCCAGCCCCAAAUUAAUCAUGGAUAAGAACAAAACCUUUUGGCUUUGUCCCUAUUCAUUUCUGUUAUUGCCAAAAAUCCCUGUUUUUGGACUUGCCAGCUACCCGAAGGACUCUCUGCCUUUCUGAAAACGGCACAGCCCCUGGCUGGAAACGGGAAACCUACAAGGCAGCAUAAGGAAAGGCUCCGUGUAGUGGUUCCCAUGUUCCAUGCUGACAGCUUUAAUUCACUUUGCCGCCAAAUUUACAUGCUACUUUCCUCUUUCUCUGCCCAAGACUCAACUUUUCCUUCGAAUUCUCCAGUUUCCUCUUCCCUAAGUCUAUUUAUCCAGGUAGCCAUGCUCCCCCGCUCCGUCUUUCAUGAUGACACGCCUCACCUGCACAGCCCCGUUCAUCUGCAAACCCAUGUUGCUUCCAUGAUCAUGUCUGCCCCUGACAACUACAAAUAUUUCCACUCACAAAUUUUCAGAAAAAAAAGUUCCCUCAAAAAACAUUUUUUAAUUUUUAAAAAAAGAUUUAAAAAGGCCGGGUGCAGUGGCUCAUGCCUGUAAUCCCAGCACUUUGGGAGGCCAAGGUGGGCGGAUCACUUGAGGUAAGGAGUUCUAGACCAGCCUGGUCAUCAUGGCGAAACCCCGCCUCUACUAGAAAUAUAAAAAUUGGCUAUAUCAGAUUGACAGUGACAGAUUUUUUAGCAAGAGGUUUCAAGGCCUGUUCC
rnacentral:lncRNA from 1 species